AGUCGGCGGAAAUCAGUCAGUCAUAGCGCUGUCAACAAAACCCCAAAACCGUAAAAUUAGAGCAAUUCGCCUGGUUCCUCUUUAAAGCAAAACCAGGAGGCUCCGCCGACUCAGAGGGCACUGUGGGCUGAGCAAAAUGAAAAUUUGAGAGUUUCUCUCCAUUGCUUAGCCCUACCUCUAUCUUUU
rnacentral:telomerase_RNA from 15 species